CAAUCCUGGCCAUGUGCUCCCAGAAAUCAUUGCCCUCCGAUUGCCAGCACUCUUGCCUACUACGAACCUUUCUUUCUCCUUCCCUACUUCUGCCACGCCACCUCCUGCUACCGCCUUUGCUACUGUUUCCCCUGGUUGGGUCUAUGAUGUGGAAUCUGUUCAGUUUGAUUUCAUAACCAAAAACCAUCAUCACUGCUCUCUUUUGAGACCUUCUGGGGCCUCUGGUUAUGAUGAGAGUCAGCAGAGAAGGAAUAACUCACUUCCAGCUUUGCCUCCACGA
rnacentral:lncRNA from 1 species